CCCCUAGAUGUUCUGGGCCGCACGCGCGCUACACUGAACAGUUCAACAAGUCUUAACCUUGGCCGAUAGGUCUGGGUAAUCUUUGAACGCUGUUCGUGAUUGGGAUAGACCUUUGCAAUUAUGGGUCUUCAACGAGGAAUUCCUAGUAAACGCAAGUCAUCAGCUUGCAUUGAUUACGUCCCUGCCCUUUGUACACACCGCCCGUCGCACCUACCGAUUGAAUGGUCCGGUGAAAUCUCGGGGCGGCGGCUUGGUCGCUUGCGUCCGACUGCUGAAACUUGAUUAAACCAUAUCAUUUAGAGGAAGGUGAAGUCGUANCA
rnacentral:rRNA from 1 species